CCUCCCCGCCUUUUCUCUUUCGUUCGGCUAGGGUCCUGAACCCCUCGUCGCGCCUCGGUGGUUUGUCACACCACCAUUACAAUCAGUGGCCGACGACAAGCGAAAUAGGCUACCAAGCCUCUGUUCGUGGUGCCUUUGAAGGUUUCAAAUCCCUCGGUCGAGUGCCCGAAAAUAAAGGGACUUCCCAACCUCCCCUUUUGGGUUCAACUCCGAUGGAGAAAGAAGUCUCCGAAGACUGACCAUGGGGGUUUUCCGAUGUCAGACGACGCGUGGAGGGCGAUUGAUGGAGCAGCGUGCGAGCAGACGAAGAGGCACGGGGCGGUGGCUGAACAUUCCUAGGGUUCUGCUGAUAUUUUUUUGCAUUAAAUUGAUAGUUUGGGCUGUAUUUGUUAUUGGGCUGUUUAUUUUGGUUUGAAAUUUUGUUUUUUGGUUUUGAGUCAUGGGAAUCGGGCAAAUUUAAGCCCGUACAAUAUUGUUUUCCAAUAAAAACAUCCACAUCAGAUGCCUGCCAUCUCAUCCGACCAUCUAACCGUGUGGCAUGUUCUCCAAUCAACCUAUUCUUCUCACCCCGAAAACUAAGCCUAGACGGAAAAUCGAAGAAAGAAAAAGAACCAGAAACAUCCAAGAAUAACAACGAGUGAGAAGGCACACCUGACCAGCAUCAAGCACAAGAAUCUGGUCGCAGUCAAUGAUGGUAUUUAGUCUGUGAGCAAUAACUAGCAUCGUGCAAGAUUUAAAUUCUUCAUGAAUGGUUUUCUGGAUAAAAGCAUCAGUCUUAACAUCCACUGCUGCUGUUGCU